AUUGAACGCUGGCGGCAGGCCUAACACAUGCAAGUCGAACGAGUGGCGGACGGGUGAGUAAUGUCUGGGAAACUGCCUGAUGGAGGGGGAUAACUACUGGAAACGGUAGCUAAUACCGCAUACCAUCAGAUGUGCCCAUAUGGGAUUAGCUAGUUGGUGGGGUAACGGCUCACCAAGGCGACGAUCCCUAGCUGGUCUGAGAGGAUGACCAGCCACACUGGAACUGAGACACGGCCCAGACUCCUACGGGAGGCAGCAGUGGGGAAUAUUGCACAAUGGGCGCAAGCCUGAUGCAGCCAUGCCGCGUGUAUGAAGAAGGCCUUCGGGUUGUAAAGUACUUUCAGCGGAGAAGCGUUACCCGCAGAAGAAGCACCGGCUAACUCCGUGCCAGCAGCCGCGGUAAUAC
rnacentral:rRNA from 1 species